UCCCGUAAAUCCUUUUAAGUUUGGUGUGAAAUCUCCCGGCUCAACUGGGAGGGUGCGCCGAAAACUGGAGGGCUAGAGUGCGGAAUGGGAGAGUGGAAUUCCUGGUGUAGCGGUGAAAUGCGUAGAUAUCAGGAGGAACACCUGUGGUGAAGACGGCUUUCUGGACCGUAACUGACGCUGAGACACGAAAGCGUGGGUAGCAAACAGGAUUAGAUACCCUGGUAGUCCACGCCCUAAACGAUGCAUACUUGGUGUAGGUCAUUCAUUGAUCUGUGCCGGAGCUAACGCGUUAAGUAUGCCGCCUGAAGCCCUU
rnacentral:rRNA from 1 species